UAAAGUGCUUUGAACAGCGUUUGGCACAUGGAGAAUUAAAUGAGCAAACGGAAGAGCAGCAACCCUGAGUUACAUUUCUCAAGACACCGGGGCUCUUGAUGGCACAGCAGCAGCUUGCUAGAGCUUGGUAAAGAGACUUGGGCCUGGUACCUGAAGGGCAAUUCCUUGGCCAUGACAUUGUAGGGAAAGACCUCUAUGGGUGUUGAAAAGACAAGGCGAGGACAAGAAGAGUUGAAAAGGAGCUGUUCUGAAGCCACCUGGCUGUGGAUGGAGGAAGCCACAUGUAGCUUAGGUAGCCUGCUAUUGUAAUUUUUUCUGCAACUGAAGAAUUCGAAAUGGGUUUGGUGGGUAGCGAAGGGCAGAAUCUGGCUUCAAGGUGACAGAGUUUGCAUAGAGAUGGCCUUCUUGAGCAAAGGUAGUGACUCCUACAUUUUUUUUUUUUGUAGAGUUGUGAUACCCAUGAGUUAGUCAGCUUGGGCUAUCAUAACAAAAUACCACACAUUGGUUGGCUUAAACAACAGAAAUUCAUUUUCCUGUAAUUCUGGAGGCUGGAAGUCCAAGAUCAAGGUGACGACAGA
rnacentral:lncRNA from 10 species